CUUAGGGGGCGUGUAUCCCCGACGAUGGCCGGGGCGGGGCCUGCUCGGAAAGGGCGUGGCCCACAGGCGGAGGGGGGCGUGGCGUCUCCCGGAAGUCCGCGGCGACGUCACGCGGAUCGGAAGUGGCUGUGUCGUCGCGCGUCAUGUCGGAGCGAGUGGCGAGCGUUCGGCGGCGCUGAGGCGUCUGGCGAACAAUAACAACGGCGGUCGUCUCGCACAACUACCGCUAGCUACGGCGACGACGCCGGUGGCCGCGGCGGCGGCAGUACCAAUCGCAGCCGGCAACAACGACGACCACGCACAUCAUUAAAUCACAGCCGUGGUCCGAUACCGUUUGCCUGCGAGCGAACGAGUGGUAGUUUGGCACCUGAAUACGCGAGCAUGCUUUGCUGCUGGCUCUAGCGAGCAUGGGGGCCAGUCCAUCCCACGUACACCACUCCUUCCCGCAGCGCGGCCGCAUCAACGCUCUGCACCAUCCGUCCAAUGCAGGUAUUUCUGUGCUGGCACAACACCAAGGCUUCAGCCUGGACAGCAAACGUGCCGGAGUUGGGCUCGGCGGGGGGAGCAGUGGAGGCGGCGGCGGUGGAGUACCGGGAAGUGUGGGGCACGCGAUGGGUGGCGGCAGCAGCGGGGGUUUCGGGGCCGCCACGUCGGCCGCGCUGUCGCGCCCAGGCUCCCACGAGCGCCAGCGCAGCGAGCGCAAGCGCAAGGCUGCGGCGCCCAGCUUGGCCACGCUGAAGCAGAAGCUGAGCCGGCGACGUCGCGCGGGGCGCUCGGCCCACCAUGCCAAGCAGAUGCGAGAACUGCUGUCCGGCUGGGCUCUGCCCGAGGUGAGUGCGUUGGUGGAGGAGUACGAAGCAGCGGCUGCAUUGAAGGAGGUUGCGCAGCAGGCGAGUCUGGCACGACCCACUGCCCAUGGCCUCCGUCACCACCUGUCUUGCCUCUACGAGUACAAGUACUGCACCGACAUGGACCUCAUCUUUCAGGACACCUGCUUCCCGGUGCACCGGGCCAUACUGGUAGCACGCUGUCCGUACUUCCGCAAUCGGUUGGCCCUGCCGGGCUCUGCGGUAGGAGGGCCGGCCGGCGCUGGCGGGGUCGGCACGCUGGGUUAUGGCGCGGAACUCACGCUGACCCUGGGGGCGGCCGGCGUAGACCUGCACGCCUUCUCCGCGCUGCUGCGCUUCCUGUACACGGGCGAAUUGGAGUCUGAGAGCGAUGGCGGCGACCCUAAUGCUGGCGGCAGUGGCUACGCGGGCAAGCAGGGAUUGCUGGCGCACGAUGGCAGCACAUUGGCCCGCCUUGGCGAGGAGUUUGGCACGCCCAACGCGCUGGCUGUCGAUCUGCUGGCGCUCCUUGACAGCGGCUGCUACUACGAUGCCGUGCUGUGCUUCUCGUCUGACAUGGAUUACACGUACACGGAGGUGUGCGGAGGCUACACGGAGCCCAUGCCCGGCGACCUGCGCUGCCACAAAGCCAUUCUGUCGGCCCGCUCGCCCUUCUUCCGCCGCCUCUUCCAGCGGCGAGCGCGCUCCGGCGAGGAGCUGACAGAGCGCGCCCUGCAGGCUCCCACGCGCAUCCUGCUGGACGAGGCCGUGCUGCCACGCCGCUACGGCCCCGCGGUGCUGCACUGCAUGUACACCGACUGCCUGGACCUGGCGCUGGUGGCGCCGCCCUCCUCGCCUGCCUGCGGCAGCCCGGUGUCUGUCGGCGCGCUUGGCGAGUUGCACGCCUCAGCCUGCCUGCCGUCUCGCGUCGAGGAGGCCAUGGAGCUGUAUGGCAUCGCGCUCUUCCUCGAGUUUGAGGUCAUGGCUCAAGGCUGCGAGGACAUCAUCGCUGACAGUCUGAGUCUGGAGGUGCUCAUCCCAAUCCUGGGCUGGAGUGCCCAGCCACACGGCUCACCCUGGGUUCACCGGCGCGCCCUGCAUUACCUGUGCGAGGAGUUUGGCCGUGUCGCCGCCUCGCCCAUGUUGUGUGACCUCAGCCAGGACUACCUGCUUAGCGCCCUGCAGUCCGACUUUCUGCAGGCAUGUGAGCAGGACGUGUUGAAGGCUGUCAUCAAGUGGGGGGAGCACCAGCUGAUUAAGAGGAUGGAAGAUCGAGAGCCGAACGUUGUGAGCAGUACGGCGCACAGCGUGAGCAAGAAGGGGGUCAAGCGAAAGGACCUGGACUCUGAGGAGCUGCGUGACAUUCUCUCUCCGCUGCUGCCUCACGUGCGCGUCGACCUCAUGCUCCCACCGAACUGCGACGUACUGGGUGGCGCGCUGAAGCGUGGGCUCAUCAGCCGGCCACCGUCGGACAUGCUGCCCUCCAUGGACGAGAGGAAAGGGAACGCGUGGAUGAGAGGUCGGGGUGGGGGCAUCGCCGUCAAACCGCGUCUCUUCACUCCGUACGUGGAGGAGGCCAAGGCGGUGCUGGAGGAGAUGACGGAUGUGCAGACGGACAAGGAGCGUCUGCGCUGGACCCGUGUGUCCAGCGUGCCGGACACGCUCUACAUGCUGGACGGUGGGGGCAUGGGCCACCAUCAGCCCCGUGCCUCCAUGGCCCACGCCAGCCCACGGCAGCCGAGCCCCUCUGGUCUCCUGGCUGCUGUCGACAAUCAGGUGCCAGUGCCGUCCCAAGCUGUGGUGCGGGAGAUGCUGAGGCGCGUGGCCGAAGCGCGAGCCGGGCCCGUGGUGCGGCAAGCGCUGUCCCUCCCGUGUGGCGACAUCCCCGCCAUCAAUCGCCACGUGCAGCUGCGUGUGCUGCGUGAGUUCGGCUUGCCCGACUCGGCCAUCGACCUCCUGCAGAACCCAUACAAAUACUUCCCGGACUCUGCCUUCGACGAGCCCGAGAGCAUGUGGGGCGCGUUCGGACACCACCAGCCAAUCCACGCGCAGUAUAUCCUGCCGCUGCAGCAGCAGCAGCAAGGACCGAGGCGGCAGAUCCGCAGCGCUCCCAGCUCCGAGUCGCUGUACACCGGCGACGUGGCUGACGCGCUGGCGCUCUCGAGCCUGCGCCUGGGGCUGCCCUUCCCGCCGCCCCCGCCCCCGUACCAGCCGCCGCUAUCGCGCGGCACGCAGGCGCCCUCGGUGCACGGCUCGCGGGGCCGCAGUCGCUCGCACGCAUACGGCGGCGCCGGCAAGAUGAGGGCGUCGCAGCAGGCCUACCCGGACGGCGUCUCCUGCGGCGGCUACUACGACGGCGUGGACACCGAGGUGUGGGCCCGGCACACUUGCCUCGCUUGACUGUCACGACUACGGUCUCGUGAUUUUGAUAUUAGCGCGUUCAAUCGCGAAGCCUUGAGUCAACGGUUCAAAUUUCAGCUUCCGGUAAUAUCUGUGGUGAAGUGGCAGUGUACCGUAUGCUGUGCAGUGUGAAUGUCAGCGAUCUUGCAAUCAUGUAUAUUUGAGUUAGACCAGGGGUCGGAAACCAAAAUAUCAAGAAGAGUAUUUUUUUUCGAAUACGGUCAAACAACUCGAUUUUGCAAAAGCCGCAAUGUAUCUCAAUGCGAGAUGGUGGUCCGUAAUAAAUGACAUCACGAAGCAGUCUUUAAAGAGCCGAAUGCAGCCCCGUUGCCGACCCCUGAGUUAAAUCAUUGUGUGCCAUUGUCAAAAGCCAAGUUUUUACAUUUCAAAAUGCCCUGCAGUUAAAUUGUCCCAAAAAAUUAUUGCGGCUCUGCUGCCCCCUGCCUCCCCUGACCGCACGUCCCUGUAUUCCAACCCAGAUUUGUACCCUAUCUUGCUAUGAUAUUCCUAUCACUUAUACUUGGAGGCCAGAAGCGUUUAUUUCGAUUGGUUGUUAAAAAUGGAGCAAUGUAAGACAAAAUGACAGCAACAAAAAUGUAUUACUUCUGCCUCAAGCAUCUUACCUUCACACAAAACCCCCCCACAUUUUGUUUAUCAAAUUAUUGUGCAGAUAUUGCCAGCAUCAUGCAGGCUGGACAUCAGUUGUUGUUGCGACAUAACACAUCCUCGCAUAAAACAACACGAGGGGUGAACACAAGGGGGCGGUGAUGGCAGCAGUGCGGGCUUGCUGCAGUCCCGUGUUUCACGGCGUAUGCGUGCGUGCGU